rnacentral:ncRNA from 2 species
CCAAUAGCGUAUAUUAAAGUUGUUGCAGUUAAAAAGCUCGUAGUUGAAUUUCGGGAUUGACGUGAUGGUCAUGCCUUAAGGGGUAUGAACUGUUACUGUUGAUUUCUCACCUUCUGGAGAAACUUGAUGUCCUUUAUUGGGUGUCUUGCGGAUCCAGGACCUUUACCUUGAAAAAAUUAGAGUGUUUAAAGCAGGCAUUUUUGCUCGAAUACAUUAGCAUGGAAUAAUAGAAUAGGACGGCAUGGUUCUAUUUUGUUGGUUUCUAGGAUCACCGUAAUGAUUAAUAGGGAUAGUUGGGGGCAUUAGUAUUCAAUUGUCAGAGGUGAAAUUCUUGGAUUUAUUGAAGACUAACUACUGCGAAAGCAUUUGCCAAGGAUGUUUUCAUUAAUCAAGAACGAAAGUUAGGGGAUCGAAGACGAUCAGAUACCGUCGUAGUCUUAACCAUAAACUAUGCCGACUAGGAAUCAGACGAUGUUAAUUUUUUAAUGACUCGUUUGGCACCUUACG